CAAUAGCGUAUAUUAAAGUUGUUGCGGUAAAAAAGCUCGUAGUUGGAUUUCUGUUGAGAGCGACCGGUCCAUACCAUGUAUGCGUAUCUGGCUUGCUCUCGGCAUCCUCUCGAUAGACGUUACUGCGCUUGAUUGCGUGGUGCGGAUCUCGGGACUUUUACUUUGAGGAAAUUAGAGUGUUCACGGCAGGCUUUUGCCAGAAUACAUUAGCAUGGAAUAAUACUAUAGGAUCUUGGUUCUAUUUUGUUGGUUUCUAGAAUUGAGAUAAUGAUUAAUAGGGACAAUUGGGGGCAUUCGUAUCAACACGUCAGAGGUGGAAUUCUUGGAUUGUGUUGCGACGAACUACUGCGAAAGCAUUUGCCAAGGAUGUUUUCAUUGA
rnacentral:rRNA from 1 species